GAUGAACGCUAGCGGCAGGCCUAACACAUGCAAGUCGAGGGGUAACAGAGGUGCUUGCACUUGCUGACGACCGGCGAACGGGUGCGUAACGCGUAUAGAAUCUACCUCUUACUAAGGGAUAGCCCAGAGAAAUUUGGAUUAAUACCUUAUAGUAUGUUGACUUGGCAUCAAGACAACAUUAAAGGUUACGGUAGGAGAUGACUAUGCGUCCUAUUAGCUAGAUGGUGUGGUAACGGCACACCAUGGCAACGAUAGGUAGGGGCCCUGAGAGGGGGAUCCCCCACACUGGUACUGAGACACGGACCAGACUCCUACGGGAGGCAGCAGUGAGGAAUAUUGGACAAUGGAGGCAACUCUGAUCCAGCCAUGCCGCGUGCAGGAAGACUGCCCUAUGGGUUGUAAACUGCUUUUAUACAGGAAGAAACACCUCUACGUGUAGAGGCUUGACGGUACUGUAAGAAUAAGGAUCGGCUAACUCCGUGCCAGCAGCCGCGGUAAUACGGAGGAUCCAAGCGUUAUCCGGAAUCAUUGGGUUUAAAGGGUCCGUAGGUGGAUAAUUAAGUCAGAGGUGAAAUCCCGCAGCUUAACUGUAGAAUUGCCUUUGAUACUGGUUGUCUUGAGUUAUUAUGAAGUAGUUAGAAUAUGUAGUGUAGCGGUGAAAUGCAUAGAUAUUACAUAGAGUACCAAUUGCGAAGGCAGAUUACUAAUAAUAUACUGACACUGAUGGACGAAAGCGUGGGGAGCGAACAGGAUUAGAUACCCUGGUAGUCCACGCCGUAAACGAUGGUCACUAGCUGUUCGAACUUCGGUUUGAGUGGCUAAGCGAAAGUGAUAAGUGACCCACCUGGGGAGUACGUUCGCAAGAAUGAAACUCAAAGGAAUUGACGGGGGCCCGCACAAGCGGUGGAGCAUGUGGUUUAAUUCGAUGAUACGCGAGGAACCUUACCAGGGCUUAAAUGUAAAU
rnacentral:rRNA from 1 species